UUGACCUCGAAUCAGGUAGGAAUACCCGCUGAACUUAACAUA
rnacentral:rRNA from 1 species